AACGAACGCUGGCGGCAUGCCUAACACAUGCAAGUCGAACGCAUCCUUCGGGGUGAGUGGCAGACGGGUGAGUAACGCGUGGGAACGUGCCCUUCAGUUCGGGAUAACCCAGGGAAACUUGGGCUAAUACCGGAUACGUGCGAGAGCAGAAAGAUUUAUCGCUGAAGGAUCGGCCCGCGUCUGAUUAGCUAGUUGGUGGGGUAAUGGCCCACCAAGGCGACGAUCAGUAGCUGGUCUGAGAGGAUGAUCAGCCACAUUGGGACUGAGACACGGCCCAAACUCCUACGGGAGGCAGCAGUGGGGAAUAUUGGACAAUGGGCGCAAGCCUGAUCCAGCCAUGCCGCGUGAGUGAUGAAGGCCUUAGGGUUGUAAAGCUCUUUCGUCCGGGACGAUAAUGACGGUACCGGAAGAAGAAGCCCCGGCUAACUUCGUGCCAGCAGCCGCUGUAA
rnacentral:rRNA from 1 species